GAUGAAGAACGCAGCGAAAUGCGAUAAGUAAUGUGAAUUGCAGAAUUCAGUGAAUCAUCGAAUCUUUGAACGCACCUUGCGCCCGCCAGUAUUCUGGCGGGCAUGCCUGUUCGAGCGUCAUUUCAACCAUCAAGCCCCCGGGCUUGGUGUUGGGGAUCGGCGAGCCUCCGCGCCCGCCGUCCCCUAAAUCUAGUGGCGGUCUCGCUGUAGCUUCCUCUGCGUAGUAGCACACCUCGCACUGGGAAACAGCGCGGCCACGCCGUUAAACCCCCAACUUCUGAACGUUUGACCUCGGAUCAGGUAGGAAUACCCGCUGAACUUAAGCAUAUCAAUAAGCGGAGGA
rnacentral:misc_RNA from 1 species